rnacentral:lncRNA from 1 species
CCCAAAACAGAAAGGAAAGCUCACCACCAGAAUGUGCCUUUUCCUUAUCAAAAAGAAUUGCUGCCCCUUACAGGACAGGAGGACUCCAAUUGUGACCAAGUUGGAGCAGCCUUGAGCCACAACUCAGACUUAUUUUCAUUCUCUGCUCAUUGGCCAUUAGGAACCCGAUCCUUAUGGUAUGUUCACACUGUCUCCAGGCUGGGCACAGUGGCUCACACUUGUAAUCCCAGCACUCUGGAGGCCAAGAUGUUGUUGCUAUGAUUUUUCUUUUUAAGACCUGCAGUGACCUGCUGCUACCAGAACUGACUCGCUUCAAAGUGACGGAUGAAACCCAUAUGGAGAUAUUCCUGGGGUGGGUAGGCCAGUUGGAAGACAGAGUGUUUACACCUGAGAGAGGACUUGAGGAAAAGCAGUUGAAAUACCAUUAGUUAACAGAUUGCCCAAUGAAGUCGAUGACAACUGUGAUAACAAGUUACUCACUAUCACAGCGUCUCCAAGAGAUGAACAGUGGAUGAUGCUUCCAAAGCACAGAUGUCCCUCUCCUCCUCAACCUUCUCUCCCCAGAAAGAUGUCAACACUGUGGAGAUUGUGCUAUGAAGAUACCUGGUGUGGCAUUGCAAUAGAUGAAAUAUUAAGGGCAAUUCAACAAUUUUCUGAACAAAUACAUGGAUUUAACUUGAAGUUGAAUUUAAUUUGACUUCAAGAAAAAU